CAGAGGGGGCAAGCGUUGUUCGGAAUUACUGGGCGUAAAGGGCGCGUAGGCGGCCUUCUAAGUCGAACGUGAAAUCCCUGGGCUCAACCCAGGAACUGCGUCCGAUACUGGAAGGCUUGAAUCCGGGAGAGGGAUGCGGAAUUCCAGGUGUAGCGGUGAAAUGCGUAGAUAUCUGGAGGAACACCGGUGGCGAAGGCGGCAUCCUGGACCGGUAUUGACGCUGAGGCGCGAAAGCCAGGGGAGCAAACGGGAUUAGAUACCCCGGUAGUCCACGCCCUAAACGAUAUCAACUGGUUGUUGGGUCUUUACUGACUCAGUAACGAAGCUAACGCGUGAAGUUGACCGCCUGGGGAGUACGGCCGCAAGGUUG
rnacentral:rRNA from 1 species